rnacentral:rRNA from 1 species
GCGAGCAGUAUUCUUCGGAUGAACUGCUGAGCGGCGGACGGGUGAGUAACGCGUGGGUACCUGCCCCAUACCGGGGGAUAACAGCUGGAAACGGCUGCUAAUACCGCAUAAGGCUGCAUGGCAAAAACUCCGGUGGUAUGGGAUGGGCCCGCGUCUGAUUAGGCAGUUGGCGGGGUAACGGCCCACCAAACCGACGAUCAGUAGCCGGCCUGAGAGGGCGACCGGCCACAUUGGGACUGAGACACGGCCCAAACUCCUACGGGAGGCAGCAGUGGGGAAUAUUGCACAAUGGGGGAAACCCUGAUGCAGCGACGCCGCGUGAGCGAAGAAGUAUUUCGGUAUGUAAAGCUCUAUCAGCAGGGAAGAUAAUGACGGUACCUGACUAAGAAGCCCCGGCUAACUACGUGCCAGCAGCCGCGGUAAUACGUAGGGGGCAAGCGUUAUCCGGAUUUACUGGGUGUAAAGGGAGCGUAGACGGCAAGGCAAGUCUGAUGUGAAACCCAGGGCUUAACCCUGGGACUGCAUUGGAAACUGUCUGGCUCGAGUGCCGGAGAGGUAAGCGGAAUUCCUAGUGUAGCGGUGAAAUGCGUAGAUAUUAGGAAGAACACCAGUGGCGAAGGCGGCUACUGGACGGUACUGACGUUGAG